AAUUACUGGGCGUAAAGCGUGCGCAGGCGGCUUUGCAAGACAGAUGUGAAAUCCCCGGGCUCAACCUGGGAACUGCAUUUGUGACUGCAAGGCUAGAGUACGGCAGAGGGGGAUGGAAUUCCGCGUGUAGCAGUGAAAUGCGUAGAUAUGCGGAGGAACACCAAUGGCGAAGGCAAUCCCCUGGGCCUGUACUGACGCUCAUGCACGAAAGCGUGGGGAGCAAACAGGAUUAGAUACCCUGGUAGUCCACGCCCUAAACGAUGUCAACUGGUUGUUGGACGGCUUGCUGUUCAGUAACGAAGCUAACGCGUGAAGUUGACCGCCUGGGGAGUACSGCCGCAAGGUUGAAACUCAAAGGAAUU
rnacentral:rRNA from 1 species